rnacentral:rRNA from 1 species
CAGCAGCCGCGGUAAUACGUAGGUGGCAAGCGUUGUCCGGAAUUAUUGGGCGUAAAGGGCUCGCAGGCGGUUUCUUAAGUCUGAUGUGAAAGCCCCCGGCUCAACCGGGGAGGGUCAUUGGAAACUGGGAAACUUGAGUGCAGAAGGGGAGAGUGGAAUUCCACGUGUAGCGGUGAAAUGCGUAGAGAUGUGGAGGAACACCAGUGGCGAAGGCGACUCUCUGGUCUGUAACUGACGCUGAGGAGCGAAAGCGUGGGGAGCGAACAGGAUUAGAUACCGCGUAGUCCCUGUCUCUUAUACA